rnacentral:rRNA from 1 species
ACAUCCAGAGAAUUUAGCAGAGAUGCUUUAGUGCCUUCGGGAACUCUGAGACAGGUGCUGCAUGGCUGUCGUCAGCUCGUGUUGUGAAAUGUUGGGUUAAGUCCCCGNAACGAGCGCAACCCCUAUCCUUUGUUGCCAGCGAUUCGGUCGGGAACUCAAAGGAGACUGCCGGUGAUAAACCGGAGGAAGGUGGGGAUGACGUCAAGUCAUCAUGGCCCUUACGAGUAGGGCUACACACGUGCUACAAUGGCGCAUACAAAGAGAAGCGACCUCGCGAGAGCAAGCGGACCUCAUAAAGUGCGUCGUAGUCCGGAUUGGAGUCUACAACUCGACUCCAUGAAGUCGGAAUCGCUAGUAAUCGUAGAUCAGAAUGCUACGGUGAAUACGUUCCCGGGCCUUGUACACACCGCCCGUCACACCAUGGGAGUGGGUUGCAAAAGAAGUAGAUAGCUUAACCUUCGGGAGGGCGUUUACCACUUUGUGAUUCAUGACUGGGGUGAAGUCGUAACAAGGUAGGCGUAGCGAG